UACGUAGGGUGCAAGCGUUUGUCCGGAAUUAUUGGGCGUAAAGAGCUCGUAGGCGGUCUGUCGCGUCGGCUGUGAAAACCCGGGGCUCAACCCCGGACUUGCAGUGGGUACGGGCAGACUAGAGUGUGGUAGGGGAGACUGGAAUUCCUGGUGUAGCGGUGAAAUGCGCAGAUAUCAGGAGGAACACCGAUGGCGAAGGCAGGUCUCUGGGACGGUACUGACGCUGAGACGCGAAAGCGUGGGGAGCGAACAGG
rnacentral:rRNA from 1 species